UUAAGUUCAGCGGGUAGUCUUGCUUGAUUUGAGAUCGAGUUUACAGAUCGCUUGCGCGACAUGUUAAAUCCUGCAUCAGUCAGCCAUAGCGACUCUUCAACCUUUAUGUUAGCUGCAGCAAAAGUAAUAAUCCGUUUGACGGGAUUAAAUAAGUAUGCUUAUAGCUCAGAAGAAAGAAUCUAGCUGCACCUGCAUUUCAA
rnacentral:misc_RNA from 1 species